ensembl:lincRNA
CGCCGUCCAGCCGCGCUUCCCUCACACCUGCUGGCAUGCGUGUGGGCGCCCGCGCAGGUUCUUAAAAUGAAGAAGUUUAAUUUCCGAAAAAUUUUGGAUGGCUUGACUGCCUCCUCACCGGGCAGUGGCAGCAGCAGUGGCAGUAACAGCAGUGGGACUGGUAGUGGUCCCUUGCAUCCAGGAGGGACAGCUGGAGUUCUGAGAGAGGAGAUUCAGGAAACCUUGACUUCAGAAUAUUUCCAGAUUUGUAAGGAAUACCAGGUUGAAUCAAUAAUCAAAAUUGCUACACAUAUUUUUUGUGAGUGGAACAUCUAUACUUGUGUGAGCUGUUCACUGAGAAUCUGUAACCCACAGGACAGGCUGAGAGGUCAGCUAGGAAACAGCAGAAAACAGAAGACAAGACUGCAGUGAUAGAAAAAGAUGGAUAUCAAGCCAAAUGCAACAUCACUGCGUGCUGUCGGGCAACAGCAAAGGAUCCUGUGCACACAAAAAGAAAGUUGCACAAUAUGAAGGAAGCAGUAAAAAUGAAAUGAAGUAGAAGAGACAUGCAGAAAGAAAAAUGCUCUCGGAUGUGUCACAAUCAUCUUGAUUCUUUACCUGGAAAACCUGUAUUUUUUCCUUUGUAAUUAUCUAAUAUACUUUGUGUCAAAGAACAAGGACCUGAGUUCCACUUAAAGAAGAUGAAGUUAACAGAUACCUUUUUCGGGUUUUAUCAUGAAAUUAGAAAUGAAGAUUUUCAGUUUCUGGUAGUCAUGAACAGAGAGCCUCAGGUAAGCCCGAGAGUGCAGGCAGAUAGUCAGGAUGCUCCUGCGCAGGCUCCUCAGGUGCAGCUGUGCUGGUGGGAAAAAUCAUGCUGUUUAGCCUAACGAGGCAAAACAGAAUAAAGGCCAAGGUAAUUCAGUAGAGAGGGUCUUAAAUGCACAGCUGUAUCAGCUGCUGCCUCCUUCCCACCUGGUCUUCAUUUUUUCUCUGUGUAAUCUGUUUGCUUCCCUACUGGGCCUGCUAAGAUUAUCUGAUUCCAGGCCAAACUGAUAAUAUUUGUUAUGAGGCCUGCCAAAAUUAAUAAAAUUUGAGUUUGUCAUCUUGGUGUUCCCUGAACUAAAGUUAACUACCUGUGUCAAAUCCUAAAGUCCACUUGUUACACCAGCAUCAGGCUAAGAUGUAAAUCUCCAUUUGAACUAAGGAACAGCUACACUACAUGCACAGAGAGAUGUUUGUUUGUAAGUGGAUACAAUAGAGUGCUUGUUGGUGUUUUAAAAGCCAAAACCUGGAAUACUUUUCUUUUGACUUUACAUAUGGAGAAAAUUACGGUGUAAAAUGUAGACAAGAAUAAAAUAAUACCAAGAUGAGUAAGUCCAUUAAAAAUGUAGAUGAGCAAAUGACUUUAGCGUUAUUAAUGUUGAUUGGGAAUUUGGCCAAAUGAGCAUGUUUAUACUUGGGACCAAUUAAAAGGCUUACCAUUUUAAUCACUGGCAGAACUGGACAUUCAGUGUUUUCCUGGAUGACAAGAAUUUUCUUUUGUUGUUUUUUCAGUUUGGCUUUGUUUUGGUCUAGUGAACUGCACCAGAGUGUCCUCAGUGUAGAGAAGAUAACAAUACACUACCACAGUGUUAGUAACAAUAUCUUGUUACUAACAUUUAGUAACAGUAUCUCAGAGUCUCUCCACAGCUUGAGGGGAAAACAUUGUUGCCAUUCCUACCCUGAGGAAAAUCUAC